AAAUAGGUUUCUGUGAUGGGAAGUCUGGGAUGCAUCAUUUUAAUCAUGCAGGAUUCUAAGAUAAAUUCGAGGUGGACUAUGUUUUUCAAGUAUUGCUUAUGAUUUUGGCUGAACUGACUCAGAGAAAACAAUGAAGUUCAAGGGCUUCCAGUCCCUUACAGGGUUCAACAACCAAAUCACAGCAUGCUGGAGAUUUUUCUGAAUACCAAACCCCCUUGCAUUUUUCCUUUUCAUCUAUAAUCAAAUGGCACUUUCCCCCCCUUGUUGCUAGUGAAUGCAUUAGGGUUUAAACUUUAUAAUCUCCAGAGCCGUUUCCUGGAAUAGAUGGAAGCGGAGCACUUGGUUAGGGACAGCCAGGAGGCUGGGAGAGAUGAUUACCUUCAGGCAGUCUCAGUGGAACAUCCCAGGGUUCCUACAGGCACAGCCUAAUGCGGGACUUACAAUGCUGAACAGACUUCCAUUAUGGGGGCUGGCUAUGUUGAUGCACAUCCACACAUAGAGAGCUCCUUGUUAAAAUGCACACCAGUGGCUCCAGAAUACAGCAGCUCAGUCGGGGUUCAUUAACAGCAGAAUCAUUCCAAGGGACAUUGUUUCAGAGAGGAAAGAAUUUCAUUUCUGUCAGGAUUGGGUUUUAGUUGCAUAUAGCCUAGAGAUUUUGCUAAGGAUUGUGUUGAAAGUCUACUUAGACGGAGACUGGAGCUUGCUUGUGCAGCCAUGCUGAAGGCUUUAGUAGGGUUAACUCGAGAUGUGCAUGCAGCAUCUACCACAGUGGGACCCCAGCUUACAUGGGAGCAUGUUAAAAUAAAUUUGUAUUAAAGAGGUGCCUUUAAAGCGUGUGUAUACUACGGGAAUCGGGAGCUGACGUGAGAAUUGCUCAGCUAUGUGUCAUAGACUCAGCACUGCUAAUGGAGGAUCUCUGCCCAUGACAGUAAUGGGAGAGCAAGUGUGCUUUGUUCUGCUCUCAAUAUUCCCUUUCGGCAGGCACACCAGCAAUUGCCCAGACCUGCGCAGCUUUUGAGACGGUGAAGGGCUGCUGUGAUAAGGAAAUCUCAGUCCCUUUUAAUCAGCAGGUAUUAAAUAAACAAAAUAAUUACCACUAAUAGAUACAAAUGGGUUGCUGCACAGCCUGAGUGUCAACUUUCUCUUACUUAUUUACCAGGGACCAUGCACUGAACACGCAAGACAUCUAAUGGUUUAGUAAUACACUGCAAGUAAACAUCUAAUUACCAGGUCUAAGAGGGGAAGGAAUAAAAAGCAACUAGGAUGAAGCUUUCAGUCAUCAUAGCUUUGAUUUCUUGUAUGGAGUCUUGCAUGAAACAUGCUGGUAGCUCUCAUCUCACAUGUAUGCCACUGCUUCUCAGGAAUAAGCCUGGUGCCUGUUCAUUCACUGCUCAGCUCUUAUUUUUAAAAACUACUCUCUCUGAAAGGGCUGUCUUUUUUUUUUUAAAAAAAAAAAAAAAAACAACCAAAAAAAAAAAAAAAAAACAACCAAAAAAUUGUACAGCAAAAGGGACAAAAUUGCUCCUCAACAAAGGGGCCUAUCAACAGCCUGUCAAUAAUGUGCCAAAGGCCAGAACCUGCCUUUCAAAGAGGCUCUGCAGCCUCGAUGUAUACUUUGAGAGCAAUUAAGGGACGUGAGCAACAUGAUGAUUAUCUCAUGGGUGACAUUUUCAUUGGUUCUUUGGGAAAAGAGAGAGAUGGGUUUGAGACGGCUGUGAUCAAUGUUCAUCCCAGUCCCACAUAAAUGACAGAAGAACAUGUGGUAGAUGGGCCUGGAAAGCAAAAUGCACAAGAAAAGGAAGGAGGGGGGCGGGGGAAAGACAUGAUGAAGAAAGAAAGAUUUUUAAAUCCUGGAAGCUGAAAGGAGCUACAGUGAGAAGUAGAAGAACACAACCUGGGAAAUGAGAGUGGGAAUGUCAGGAGGGCUGGCAGAUCUCCAGAGGCCGGGGAGAGUGGGAAUAGGAGAGGAAGGGACUGCAGGAUUCCUGGCGGAGAAGUACAGAAAGAAGAGGGGAACGGAUCCCCCUGAGUGAGGAGAAAGUCCAGAGAAACUGGCCUAGACAUGUUGUGCAUGCACAGGGAGAAUCUGCUGUAGGCGCACCACAAUGCCUCUUCCUUUUCCCAUCAUGGACCCUGUACCACUGGGCAGCAUUGUCCCAGACCAAGCCCUUGGUGUCACGCACCUUGUUGAUUUAUCAGGUCACAGUUGCACUCCGAGCCUAAGGAAGGAGGAACAGAACACUCCCAGACAGAGACUAACGAGUUGUUUUAGGACAGAAGUGGAAUUAUGAUUAUUCUGCUUUUAUAUCAGCAUAUUCCCAUCAGUGUUGUCCACCUAUCCUUCCUUCAUCCCUUCUGUCUUUGUGCUGCAGGUACCAACAAAAGCCCAGAGCUGAGAGCAGGCAGGAGUGCACAGAGGCAGACUGCGUUGGAUGGGAGGUGAAUGCUGUUUGGGUGCAGAGACAUGACUACACGCAAACUAUGCUGAAGAUAGAAAUCAACUGACAUGUUCACUCUGGAGGAAUCCCCUGGGGUACCAGCAGAAUGCAUUAAGAGUGCAUUUCUCCAGCGAGCUGUGAUGGGAAGAGCACAGAGCAAAAAAGAAGCAUUUUUGCUUUUUGUUAACACAAGCAGAGAGAACAUGAAGGAACAAUCUCUCGAAGGAUACAGACUGACAGCAAUAUUGCCAUCUGACUAAGAAGAACUCAGACAUACGCAUAAUCCUCAGGAAGAUUCAUCUCCACCCUCCCAACAGACCCUGGUGAGAGCCCUUGAAGUGGUAAUUAAAGUCUAUUGAGUGGCAACUGCA